GGGCGAUUAGCUCAGCGGUAGAGCGCUUCGUUCACAUCGAAGAUGUCAGGGGUUCAAAUCCCUUAUCGCCCACCA
rnacentral:tRNA from 4 species